rnacentral:rRNA from 1 species
GUGGGGAAUAUUGGGCAAUGGGCGCAAGCCUGACCCAGCAACGCCGCGUGAGGGAAGAAGGCUUUCGGGUUGUAAACCUCUGUCCUUGGUGACGAAAAAAAUGACGGUAGCCAAGGAGGAAGCCCCGGCUAACUACGUGCCAGCAGCCGCGGUAAUACGUAGGGGGCGAGCGUUGUCCGGAAUUACUGGGCGUAAAGGGUGCGUAGGUGGCCUUUUAAGUUGGAUGUGAAAUACCCGGGCUUAACUUGGGGGGUGCAUCCAAAACUGGGUGGCUAGAGUGCAGGAGAGGAAAGCGGAAUUCCUAGUGUAGCGGUGAAAUGCGUAGAUAUUAGGAGGAACACCAGUGGCGAAGGCGGCUUUCUGGACUGUAACUGACACUGAGGCACGAAAGCGUGGGGAGCAAACAGGAUUAGAAACCCGGGUAGUCC